UACGUAGGGUGCGAGCGUUAAUCGGAAUUACUGGGCGUAAAGCGUGCGCAGGCGGUUUUGUAAGCCAGGUGUGAAAUCCCCGGGCUUAACCUGGGAAUGGCAUUUGGGACUGCAAGGCUGGAGUGCGGCAGAGGAGACUGGAAUUCCUGGUGUAGCAGUGAAAUGCGUAGAUAUCAGGAGGAAGACCGAUGGCGAAGGCAGGUCUCUGGGCUGACACUGACGCUCAUGCACGAAAGCGUGGGGAGCAAACAGG
rnacentral:rRNA from 1 species